rnacentral:ncRNA from 1 species
UUGUCUUCAGGGCAGGGUGUAAUUCCCUACCGGCGGUAUAGCCCGCGAGCCGUAAUUGGCAGAUUCGGUGUAACUCCGAAGCCGACAGUAAAGUCUGGAUGAAAGAAGAUA